rnacentral:hammerhead_ribozyme from 1 species
CCCCUACUGACGAGUCCCAAACAGAAUGAAACGGCUGUUCAGUAG